GAAGGAGUUAUAUGGUUAUAAAGAAACAUUUCAGAUCACUGAAAAUCUACAAUCUAAUAUUAAACUUACAAGAACAUUUGACCACAUGAUAGAUGUAUCUUAGCAACUUACUAGGUGCACUGUGUAGGUAACGUUACAGUUAGUUAUACUGGGUGGGUUUAUAUUAUUAAAGGGAUACUCCAGGCUCCCACACACAUUAGAUGCACUAUGUAGGUUAGGUUACAGUUAGUUAUACUGGGUGGGUUUAUAUUAUUAAAGGGACACUCCAGGCUCCCACAC